rnacentral:rRNA from 1 species
GACGAACGCUGGCGGCGUGCUUAACACAUGCAAGUCGAACGGAGUGGCGAACGGGCGAGUAACACGUGGGUGACCUGCCCUGCACUUCGGGAUAAGCCGGGGAAAAUGGGUCUAAUACCGGCCAGUGUGGGAUGGGCCCGCGGCCUAUCAGCUUGUUGGUGGGGUAAUGGCCUACCAAGGCGGCGACGGGUAGCCGGCCUGAGAGGGUGGACGGCCACAUUGGGGCUUAGACACGGCGCAGACUCCUACGGGCUGCAGCGGUGGGGAAUAUGGCCCAAUGGGGGGAUGCAUGAUGAGCCGACGGCGGGUUGGGUAUGGCGGCCGUCGGGGUAUACACUCCUUUCACCCUCGACGCGGUAGAUGGAGAAGAAGUACCGGCUAACUACGUGCCAGCAGCCGCGGUAAUUC